CCUACGGGUGGCAGCAGUGAGGAAUAUUGGUCAAUGGGCGGGAGCCUGAACCAGCCAAGCCGCGUGAGGGAAGAAGGUACAGCGUAUCGUAAACCUCUUUUGUCAGGGAACAAAGGCGGGGACUAGUCCCCGGAUGAGGGUACCUGAAGAAAAAGCAUCGGCUAACUCCGUGCCAGCAGCCGCGGUAAUACGGAGGAUGCGAGCGUUAUCCGGUUUGAUUGGGUUUAAGGGGUGCGCAGGCGGCCUGUCAACUCGGCGGUGAAGGCCCGGGGCUCAACCCCGGCGGGCCGUUGAAGCUGGCGGGCUGGAGUGGGGGGGAGGUAGGCGGAAUGGGCGGGGGAGCGGUGAGAGG
rnacentral:rRNA from 1 species